AUGAUGGACUAUAGGACAGGACUGCUGCUUCUAACUGUCUGCUGGGCAGGUGUUGAUGGUCAGACUCUGACAGAAUCUGAACCAGCAGUUAAAAGUCCUGGAGGAUCUCACAGAUUGACCUGUACAGUCUCUGGAUUUGAUGUUAGUGGCUACUGGAUGGGCUGGAUCAGACAGGCUCCUGGUAAAGGACUGGAGUGGCUCGCUUUGAAUCAUGGUACCACCAACUACUACUCUCAGUCAGUUCAAGGCCGGUUUACCAUCUCCAGAGACAACAGCAGACAGCAGCUGUAUCUGCAGAUGAACAGUCUGAAGACUGAAGAUUCUGCUGUUUAUUAUUGUGCUCGAGAGCCACAGUGACUGGAGUUGGUUGAGCAGCUGUACAAAAACCUACAGUCCUCAUUCUUACUGGGCUGAUAGAGGAUGAAGUGUUUUUCAUUAAUUGCUGUGGAUGUACAUUUUGUAUUAAUGUUUGUU